rnacentral:rRNA from 1 species
CACGUAGGGUGCGAGCGUUUGUCCGGAAUUAUUGGGCGUAAAGAGCUCGUAGGUGGUUUGUCGCGUUGUUCGUGAAAACUCACAGCUCAACUGUGGGCGUGCGGGCGAUACGGGCAGACUGGAGUACUGCAGGGGAGACUGGAAUUCCUGGUGUAGCGGUGGAAUGCGCAGAUAUCAGGAGGAACACCGGUGGCGAAGGCGGGUCUCUGGGCAGUAACUGACGCUGAGGAGCGAAAGCGUGGGGGAGCAAACAGG